rnacentral:rRNA from 1 species
GACGAACGCUGGCGGCGUGCUUAAAACAUGCAAGUCGAACGGACUUCUCAUGAAGCUUGCGAUUGAGAAGUUAGUGGCGGACGGGUGAGUAACGCGUGGGCAACCUGCCCCUGAGCCCGGGAUAACAGUUCGAAAGGACUGCUAAGACCGGAUAUACUUGCGGGGAAGCAUUUCACUGCAAGGAAAGGGAACGCUCAGGGAUGGGCCCGCGUCCCAUUAGCUAGUUGGUGAGGUAACGGCCCACCAAGGCGACGAUGGGUAGCCGGCCUGAGAGGGUGAACGGCCACACUGGGACUGAGACACGGCCCAGACUCCUACGGGAGGCAGCAGUUGGGAAUCUUCGGCAAUGGGCGCAAGCCUGACCGAGCAACGCCGCGUGAGUGAUGAAGGUUUUCGGAUUGUAAAGCUCUGUCUUCCGGGACGAUAAUGACGGUACCGGAGGAGGAAGCCACGGCUAACUACGUGCUAGCAGCCGACGGUAAAAGUGUGUGUA